GGAGAAGCAUGUCCUGGGCUGCAUCCCCAGCAGUGUGGCCAGCAGGGUGAGGGAAGGGGCUCUGUCCCUCUGCUCCGCCCUGGUGAGAACACACCCAGAGCACUGCGUCCAGCUCUGGGGCCCUCAGCUCCAGAAAGGACUGAAAUGGAACUGCAAACUAUGAAGAAUGGCUCCUCAGGUGUCCAGGCUGUGGAUUAUGAAUUUACCAGCUAAGAAUAACUGAAACAUGGAUAGACCCAAGAAAGUGUACUUGAAGUGUAUGCGGCACAUCUACAAAAGAGAUGAAAAAUCAAAUACUGAAUUACGCAGGUGAAGGCUUUAGCCAACAGUUUCAACAUCAUGAAAACAAGAGUCAUCACAGUUAGCAUGGCUAUGAGGUAUUCUAUCCAAAAUAUCAAGGGUGGAACAAAUAAUCAGCAUUUUCCCCUUAGAAGGAACUCUUCUGUUGUCAGAUUUUGAAUCCCUGAAACAAUGGAUAGCCCCACGACUUCAAAAGGAUUACAUGAAAAACAGAGUGUUUGUCAAAAAGAGGACAACAGAUCCUAAGUAGACCAUAAGUUUGUCAUUAUAAAACAUUUUGAUCUCUUGCUGCCCUUGACGCAUUUGUGCUGGGAGUAAACCUCUUUAGUGCUCUGGAGAUCAAACAGGCAUAUUUCCUGAAUGCUGUACUAAUAGAAACAUUUUUUGAGGAAAAAUAAAUAAUUGAAACAAAACAAAUUCUAUUAAAUCUUGGUACUAUUGAUAUAACUGGAAAAAAUAUACAGUGGUUUGAAUCAGUCUUCCAUUCUCUUACUAUAUAUUUAGCUUAGCAUUUGCCUCACCCUUAAUUCACUCUCCUCCUUCUAUUGUCCAAACCUGUACACUAUUAUUGUAGUUUGGAGGGAGCUGCCCACUAUUAGCACAGUUCUGGUUUGCUUUGAAGGUGUAUUAUCUGAGACUGUUUGACAUGAAGCAUCCCUUUUUUCCAAGCUUGGUUCUUUCCAAGAGCCUUUCUUGUAGCUCUUUUGAUGUAAUUUUCUGCAUUUCAGCAGUGAGUAAUGCAAAACUGAAGGGCAGAAACUCAGGCUGCAUUAAUACUUUUUUAGGCCUUUUGGCCACUACUUUAAAGAUCACAUCCAAUACUUUAAAUACUUUAUUGCAACCCCCAACAUAGAUGAAAAUAAUCACACCUCAGCAAGAGUCUUUCCUUUUUUCUUAUGGGACAACAUUCCCGUUAAACUUCAUAGUCACAUUACCACCUUCCUUCCCACAUGGACCUCAGGUUCCUGUCCCAAAUUAGUGAGGAAGAGCUUCCUUCUACCUCUUGCACUGAAAUGCUGAUGCUAACUCCUUUUUCUCAGUCCACAUGGAGCUGUGGUUCUCCAGAUACACUGGCAGCACAGCUGUCAGUCCUUAGUCCUGCAGGGGGGUGUGUGUCUGCAACCUUAGCUAUCUAGUCGUGCCCGCAACCCCCUUUCCUUCUCUCUCUGCAUGAAAGAUGACACAAGCUUAGUGAAGAAAAGAUCACACAAACUAAGACUGUGUAGAAUAAAAGGAAGCAACCAAGAAGUUGAGUAGUCUUGGGAGAGGAUAACCACUUCCAGGUUAAUGCUUUCCACAGCCAAGCCCCAGUGAAUGCAGACUCCAGGUGAGCUCUGGAUCUGGCUAUGGGCAACAUUCACUGUGAUUCACAGGCUGGUGUCAGAGCCUUGUUUCGUGAAAAGGAUGGGGCUUUGUACUGGUGUGAGCACAGUGGCCUUGCCUCUGUCAGGACAUUCAUUCUUCCCUUUUGCUUUGAGGGUGCCCUCUCUGAGGACCAUUUAUCUGGGAUGCAUUGGUCAACGUUAUGCAGCCAGCAUUGUCUCCUGGUCCAUUCCUUGUCUCUCUGAACUCCCUCAGGGGUACGAGGUGAGAAUUCACACUUGCAGAGUGCAGACCCUGGGUUGUACAGCCAGGACAGGGCACCCUGCCGUGCCAUGAACAGGUGUAUGUUACAACAUACGGCCAACUGAAUAGGAGAGUAUUCCUAACACUGAAGCUCUACUCAGGCUAAGCCUAAUUAGCAAAGCUAUGAUGGCAUUUUUCAUAUACAGUUUUGAAUGGAAUCACUAUCCAGAUGAAUAAUCAACAAAAAAUACUGCUAUCCUGAGACAAUUUUUAAAUUGUGUAUUAUCCCAUGUUUCAGUAGCCACAGAAAAUGGUGGUGAAUUGUAGUGUCUGAAAAAUAUCUUGCUUCUUAAUUCUGACAAAAAUAUGGAGUCUAAUAUGUUGUGCUAGAUAAUUUGCAAGCAUUAAGAUAGUAGAGUCUUCAUCCUGAAGCCUUUUUUAAAAAUGAAAAUGAAAAACAAACAGAACCAGGUAUAAGAGAUGAUGACAAAUUUCUUGAAACAUUCAGCCAUCUCUGGCUUUACAAAAUGUUUAAAUGGGCUUUUUUUAGAGGGGGAUAAGUUUGAAAAUUGGGUGAGCCAGGGAAGGUGGCAGCUGGAAGAAGUAGUCAGGAACUGCAGAAGACAGACCCUGUCAGAUGAGUAAUCCAGAAAUGAGUAUUUUCUGCAGCUGCUUGGCCACACUGAGUCACUGAUAGGUUCCAACUGCAUUUUUAGCCCCUGAAAAUCUACCUGUUUGUGCAUCACUGAGGAAAAGCCACACAGGUCUUGGUGUCUCUACUGAAAAUAUCCCCAUGACCUAUUCUAGUACAGCAGUGACAUUAUAAGCAGUUAACCUUCUGUGGAUAUAGAGGCAGCAUCAGUCUCCAGAUCAAGUAGGAAAUAAAUAUAUGGAUACAGGUGACUACAGUAAUCACAGCUCUCCUGUGCUCUGCAUCAUAUUUCUAUUACAUUAUAGAAUGCAGAUGUAGUGUAAAUUACUAUCAUACCAAUUUAAUUUUAUUCAACACUUGGUACACAGAAAGAUUCGUAAGUAACAUCUGUAAAAAUCUUCAGGCCAAAGGCACAAUAAAAUCUUAUAUUUAUAUUGAUUAACUACAUUGUAGAUAUUUACCAGUAGUUAUUGAAUUUGUAGCUUAGAACAUUAUUUCAGUUCCUUAGACUUAAGAGAUUCAGAGUGGGUGCAAAAUUUUGAGCUCUCUCCAGAAUAUUCAAAGCUACCAAAAUAGAGGGGAUUUCUGCAAUGAUGAUAAAUAAUAAUAAAAAAAAAUCAACGUUUUUUUUAAAUCAAGUGACAUAAACCAAAUAUUAAGUAUUAGAUACUUGCACUGCUAGUGCAAAACAGGCAACAAUCUUUUACAUUAAAAAAAGCCAACAGUGCAGCUCUGGCGUACAUAGCUAACUGUUUAGGUUAAACUUUGCUUCCCAGUUGUGGUGUGGGGAAUGGACUAUGAAUGAAACAAUUAGCAAGAACAUGCAAUCAGUCUGGGAUUCAUGCCAUGAAGUAUGAUUUAGGUCAAGAGUCCAGAAGAACUCAAAAAAAAUCUUGGACAUGUGUGGGUAGGAAGAACAUCCAAAAUAAGCAUUUCUAAAAGCCCAAAGGAGUUUGUGGGGGGAGUUAGGCUUCAAUGCAGAUCAACAUCUAACAAACAUGGGUUAAGAAGAACAUUGCUGUGGCCAGUUGAUUCUGUAUCAUUUUCUGAGGCAGCUGAUAGAGGUCCCUGUCAGAAACAGCAUGCUGAACUACCAGCUAUUGGCACGACUGUAUAUGCCACUCUCAGAUUUCUUGCUGCAAAGGGGAGAUCUGUUCUCAAAUGUCCCAAAAUCCAAAGUAAAUAUUUCUGAUGGUAUUAAAGCUAGGAAAAGUAUUUCUAAAGGGCUACUUGUUGCCUGUUUGUAUUUCUCUUUGAAAAUUGGCUGUUACCUUUGUUUUCCUCUGUUAUAUCACAUAGAAAAAAAAAUCUUAAAAUGCAUGAAAUCUUUCCCAUGUAAACAAAUCAUUCCUUCCAGAGGAAUGUUAUAUGAUGACAGGGUAUGUGAAAGGGCCUCAGCGAUCAUGUGGUGAGUGAGAUCAUGAGACACUGUCUGCAUUGGAGCUGAAUGCAGUCUACUCAAAUGCUUUUGGGAUCCCCAUGAUAGAACAUUGGUGGAGAGCAAAACCACAAGCAUUGAGCAAACUGGACCUUCCCUACCUCCUGACAUCUUCAGGGCCUACAGCUUUGGUAUAAAAAGUAUACCAAAUUGUUUUUACUAAAACUAAUUUAGCGGAUAAUUUAAAAGGGUUUAAAUGGUUUAAGAAUGGCAUAAUUUGGGUAGUAUGGUCACUUUUCUACUGUUCCAACAAAUUAUCCUGGGAUGAAAAUAAAUUCUCUACAGCUGUCAGAAAUCUUAGCCACUAUUUACACACUUCAGGGAUUGUUUCUGCCCAGCAGUUCAUGGAGGGAGGUGACACAGGAAAUGUCAAUACUGAGUUACAGCAGCUGGUUUUUCAGCCAUUUUUCACGGAGACAGAAAGUGUUCCUAUAGAGUUUAGAAAAUCUUUUUCUUGGGCUGUUUGUUUUGUUAAAAAAAGGAAACAGACUGGUAUUUAAAAUUCAGUAUCUUUGUUUUGUUUCUCCAAAAAGUAAUGUAACCACCAUAUCUACAGAUGACCAUGCCACAAGGAAAAAAAAACCCAAAAAGAAACAAAAAUUAAUCUUGUUCAGUACUUUUGAGAUAUCAACUGUGUUAAGGCAAAACAAAACCUGUAUAGGCCUUGUCUUAAGGAAAUGGAGCUAAUGUGAAUAUCCUGUGAACUCUGAAGGAGCAAUGUAUUUACAUUUGGAUGCUCUGAUUUAAUUG